CCUACGGGAGGCAGCAGUGAGGAAUAUUGCACAAUGGGGGAAACCCUGAUGCAGCGACGCCGCGUGAGUGAAGAAGUAAUUCGUUAUGUAAAGCUCUAUCAGCAGGGAAGAAAAUGACGGUACCUGAGUAAGAAGCCCCGGCUAACUACGUGCCAGCAGCCGCGGUAAUACGUAGGGGGCAAGCGUGAUCCGGAUGUACGGGGUGUAAAGGGAGCGUAGACGGCAGUGCAAGUCUGGGGUGAAAGGCGGGGGCCCAACCCCCGGACUGCUCUGGAAACUGUACGGCUGGAGUGCAGGAGGGGUAAGUGGAAUUCCGAGUGUAGCGGUGAAAUGCGUAGAUAUGAGGAGGAACAACAGGGGCGAAGGCGGCUUACGGGACUGUAACUGACGUUGAGGCUCGAAAGCGUGGGGAGCAAACAGGAUUAGAUACCCGUAGUC
rnacentral:rRNA from 1 species